GGCACUGGGGACGGGGGGGACAUGUCCCCCUCAGAUUCAUAGUGACCCCCCCCACUCUGUCCCUACAUAAGGCGACAAACAUCGCCGGUAAGACAUUAAUUGUUUUUAAUUAAUGUUCCGUUAGUUAGACUACAUAAGUCGAAAAACAAUGCCAGUAAAACGGAUGAUUAAUGUUCAGUUGUUAGACUAAUUUACAUGCAGCGCGCAUUGAGAGCCCGGCGUUUGUGUGCUACGACUAAUGGUGCGUUCCAGUUGUGCACGAAUGUGCCCCCGUGAAGUCGGAUCUCCAACUCGGAAAGUCGAAUUAAUCUCACCAGCCAGACAUAGAAUUCAUGCUAUCUGCUACUCACGUAAACAGUAGUUACAUGCUUGUUUGUUUGUUGUACGUUUGUGAGGCUGGGAAGCGCUGGGAGCACUCAGCUUUGGGGUUACGUUGUUCCGAGCUCCAAGUUCCGACUUUCAGUGUAAAUCGAACACACCAUAAAGGUGCGAACACACCAAGCGUGGUCCUAAAGAGGAACUAGUAGCUCAGCUGCGCCUGUACCUGUUGCGGUGAUCAUUGUCUACUAUGACAGAGCUGGUGCUUCAAUGAAGAAACAAAAUGAAGAAGCAAAAAACAAUCAGAGCGUUUU